rnacentral:rRNA from 1 species
UACGUAGGGUGCGAGCGUUGUCCGGAAUUACUGGGCGUAAAGAGCUCGUAGGUGGUUUGUCGCGUUGUUCGUGAAAACUCACAGCUCAACUGUGGGCGUGCGGGCGAUACGGGCAGACUGGAGUACUGCAGGGGAGACUGGAAUUCCUGGUGUAGCGGUGGAAUGCGCAGAUAUCAGGAGGAACACCCGGUGGGCGAAGGCGGGGUCUCUGGGCAGUAACUGACGCUGGAGGCGCGACAGCGUGGGGAGCAAACAGG